rnacentral:rRNA from 1 species
CAUCGCCCCUCGCCCACCCCAAAUGAGGGGUACUGCCUGCCCAGUGAAUCUUCAACGGCCGCGGUACCCUGACCGUGCAAAGGUAGCAUAAUCCCCAGUCUCCUAAAUAGAGACCAGUAUCAAUGGCAACACGAGAACCUAACUGUCUCCCUACUUCACCCUCAAACUUCUUUAGUUGUGCAAAAGCGACUAUACAAGCGCAAGACGAGAAGACCCUAUCGAGCUUCAAGGUACAAAGCACUGAAUAACUGAAAAAAUUUUGCUGCGUUACGCACAAACCCCUUCUCUUCUACUGCUUCCACCUUUUGGUUGGGGCAACCGCGGAAGAAAUACAUCUUCCGCAAUUAAAACAACAAGAUCCCAAAUCUAAGCUUAUACAAUACCCUGAUCCAAAAUUUUUGAUCUUUGAACUAAGUUACCGUAGGGAUAACAGCGUAAUCCCUUCCAAGAGUUCACAUUGCCGAAGGGGUUUGCGACCUCGAUGUUGGAUCGGGUCAUCCUAACGGUGCAGCCGCUGUUAAGGGUUGGUCUGUUCGACCAUUAAAGACCUACG